GACGAACGCUGGCGGCGUGCUUCAUACAUGCAAGUCGAACGAGACCGGGCUUCGGCCCAUAUGGUCAAGUGGCGAACGGGUGAGUAACACGUGAGAAACCUGCCCCGAAGACUGGGACAACCGAGGGAAACCUCGGCUAAUACCGGAUACCUUCUACUGAUCGCAUGAUCGGUUGAAGAAAGGCUCCGGCGCUUCGGGAGGGUCUCGCGGCCUAUCAGCUAGUUGGUGAGGUAAUGGCUCACCAAGGCAUCGACGGGUAGCUGGUCUGAGAGGACGAUCAGCCACACUGGGACUGAGACACGGCCCAGACUCCUACGGGAGGCAGCAGUAGGGAAUCUUGCGCAAUGGGCGAAAGCCUGACGCAGCAACGCCGCGUGGGGGAUGACGGCUCUCGGGUUGUAAACCCCUUUCAGCAGGGACGAAAUUGACGGUACCUGCAGAAGAAGCCCCGGCCAACUACG
rnacentral:rRNA from 1 species